UGAACGCUGGCGGCGUGCCUAAUACAUGCAAGUCGAGCGACCGGACGAGAAGCUUGCUUCUCUGAUGUUAGCGGCGGACGGGUGAGUAACACGUGGAUAACCUACCUAUAAGACUGGGAUAACUUCGGGAAACCGGAGCUAAUACCGGAUGAUAUUUUGAACCGCAUGGUUCAAAAGUGAAAGACGGUCUUGCUGUCACUUAUAGAUGGAUCCGCGCUGCAUUAGCUAGUUGGUAAGGUAACGGCUUACCAAGGAAACGAUGCAUAGCCGACCUGAGAGGGUGAUCGGCCACACUGGAACUGAGACACGGUCCAGACUCCUACGGGAGGCAGCAGUAGGGAAUCUUCCGCAAUGGGCGAAAGCCUGACGGAGCAACGCCGCGUGAGUGAUGAAGGUCUUCGGAUCGUAAAACUCUGUUAUUAGGGAAGAACAUAUGUGUAAGUAACUGUGCACAUCUUGACGGUACCUAAUCAGAAAGCCACGGCUAACUACGUG
rnacentral:rRNA from 1 species